CACAGCAGCCCGGGAAGUAACGGUCGCUCUGUCUCGUCUGGGAAGAUCUCCGUUGCCAGGGCUUGCUGGACCCGCCCCCGCACAGCUUCCCAGCAGUCCCGAUUCCGCCUGAGGCUCCAGAAGGCGAAGCUGUACAGGAGGCCACUUUUCUUCUCAGCCUAGAACUCGAGAGACCUGAAAGGAAGGACGACUGGCCACAGGAGAUGUUUCACAGAGCCGCUGAAUGAACAACACAGUCAAUUCUGAUCAACUUUCCAGUGCUAUCUGGGUGUAAGUGAGUGGCCCUGGAGGUGGGUGCCUCUCCCCGGCGCAGUUUUUCCUUCCAUCACAAGCAUGGCUGAAGCUGGGUGGUGGUGCAUACAGAUUCCAGCCAGCAAGGAGGGGAAAGAGAGUUCAGAGGACUCACCUCCACUGUCCCCGACCCAGGCCUGUAGCAUCUAUAUUGGCUCCUCUCAGGUUCCACAGAAUUCCUCAAGAUGACUGAGGUUGGUCCCUGAAGAAACCAAAUUCAGUGUAAGAAAACCAACAUCACAAAGAGGUCUAAAGAUGAAGGCUGACAUUUAGAGCUUGUGAAUACAACUUCCACCUCCAUCUGUAAGCAGAAAAUAGUUCAUUAAAUAAAAGUCUGUCGGUAGUACAGCUUGAAAAUAAAGUCUGGUGUUUUAUUUGGCCCUGAA
rnacentral:lncRNA from 10 species